UGAGUCCAAAAAAGCCUCCGUUGAUUCCUACAAUACAUGUAAAUCAUAGCCCAUAAAUCGAAUUCAAUUCAAAACUCCAUUUGAAGUUAUUACCUUGUAAUGAAUCAUAAAGGCCUCUUCAAAUCUAGGCCACUGUCCUAUUUUCUUCUGGUAUUACCAUUUCCACAGCAACUAAUUCAGAAUUCUGUUCUGCCGCAUUAACACAAGAAUUGAUCCCAAAUCUGCUCUGCUGCACUUGUUCCAUUGGUGAGUGGCCAGGAGUGAACUGUGAACCAUGAAGUUUCAUCAUCUUUAGAGUACCGAGUUUUUUGAGGGAACACGUGAAGCUGGGAUUGGAGGUUGGAUAAACUUUGUGGCCAUCGCUCAAGUCAGAUUCUCUAAAUUUUUUGAAGAUGAAGAAUCAAUGCCAAAAGGCUGUAUCUUCGUACGAGUUCUCUGGUUUCAGUCUCAUAUCAACUUCGAGGUUCAGACAGGUGUCAUUCGUCGAUAGAUUACAUCCCCACACGACUGCAAGACUUGGCCAAUCAUACUACAUUAAGCCUCUUUGAUGGUCAUUAUUUCGGAAAAACAAUGUGCAUGUUUGAG
rnacentral:lncRNA from 1 species